rfam:Candidatus Roizmanbacteria bacterium RIFCSPHIGHO2_12_FTLL_41_11 rifcsphigho2_12_scaffold_2450, whole genome shotgun sequence.
GAUCCGUUGGCGAAGUGGAAACGCGGCUGUCUGCAAAACAGCUAUUGCGCGGGUUCGAUUCCCGCACGGAUCU